AACUAGCUCAUUUACUGGCUUUGAAUAUAUACAGAUCCAGGAGAUAUGAAAUAAUUUUAGGAGCCACAGAAAAUACUGUAAACUUUUCACUCCUCAGUGUCUUAACACUCAGAUUCUUGUGGAGGAAAACCCUAGAGACUCCUUCAAUUCAAUUCAGUUCAAUUCAAUUAAAAAAGUAUUACCUUUCUCAGAAGACCAUCUGUUAUGCCUCUUUCUGAUUGUUCUUCUCUCUUUUCUUCAGGGUCAACUUGAAAAACCUGGCCCCUGAGUUUCACCUUUCAAAAUCCUUUUCUCAUUAAAAAGUAAAACCCGAACAAUCCACCAGCAACUCAUGAGCUAGCAGCAGAAAAGAUGACAGAGCUGGGGCUGGCAGAGCGAGG
rnacentral:lncRNA from 1 species